AUUGAACGCUGGCGGCAGGCCUAACACAUGCAAGUCGAACGAGUGGCGGACGGGUGAGUAAUGUCUGGGAAACUGCCUUAUGGAGGGGGAUAACUACUGGAAACUGUAGCUAAUACCGCAUACCAUCGGAUGAGCCCAAGUGGGAUUAGGUAGUUGGUGGGGUAAAGGCUCACCAAGCCGACGAUCCCUAGCUGGUCUGAGAGGAUGACCAGCCACACUGGAACUGAGACACGGCCCAGACUCCUACGGGAGGCAGCAGUGGGGAAUAUUGCACAAUGGGCGCAACCCUGAUGCAGCCAUGCCGCGUGUAUGAAGAAGGCCUUCGGGUUGUAAAGUUCUUUCGGUGGCGAGGCGUUAACCGCAGAAGAAGCACCGGCUAACUCCGUGCCAGCAGCCGCGGUAAUAC
rnacentral:rRNA from 1 species